AUGCAAAAGUAUUUUCACAUCUCGAAGAUUCUUCUGAACACUCCUCCAAAAUACAGCGACGGCACCAGACUACACAUCACUGAACUGACUGAAAAAAAGCAAGAAUCAACACAAUGGCCGAUUACUGUCCUCGUAUCUGCUUUCAUAAAUGGUCUUCUGAUUAUUAUGAUCAUAGGCUUGGUGAAGAGCUACAUUGAUGUAGCUGGAAGAUCAAAAAAUUACACUGCAGCUAAAAACUCCAAUAAUCUCCAGUGUGCUGAAAUGGAUUUUCCCAGAAACAACAGAUCUUGCCCAGAGCUGAGUCUGAUUGUCUACACCCAAUGUAUGAUGUAG
rnacentral:lncRNA from 12 species